CGUUAAUAUAUGACCCGAUUAGCAGCUUCCGGGAAACCAAAGUUUUUCGUUUCCGGGGGAAGUAUGGUUGCAAAGCUGAAACUUAAAGGAAUUGACGGAAGGGCACCACCAGGAGUGGAGCCUGCGGCUUAAUUUGACUCAACACGGGAAAACUCACCCGGCCCGGACACCGUAAGGAUUGACAGACUGAGAGCUCUUUCUUAAUUCGGUGGGUGGUGGUGCAUGGCCGUUCUUAGUUGGUGGAGCGAUUUGUCUGGUUAAUUCCGAUAACGAACGAGACUCUGGCCUAUUAAAUAGACGAUAUAUUUAAAAGUAUAUCGCGCUUCUUAGAGGGACAAGCGGCGUCUAGCCGCAUGAAAUAGAGCAAUAACAGGUCUGUGAUGCCCUUAGAUGUCCGGGGCUGCACGCGCGCUACACUGAAAGAAUCAGUGUGCGUUACGCCUAGUUCGGAAGAACCGGGUAACCCAAGUAAAUUCUUUCGUGCUUGGGAUAGGGAAUUGCAAUUAUUUCCCUUAAACGAGGAAUUCCCAGUAAAUGCGGGUCAUAAGCUCGCGUUGAUUACGUCCCUG
rnacentral:rRNA from 1 species